AUGUGGAGGAAAGUAGGGGAAAUGGCCGAUACUUUUGGAAGAAUUCCUCUUUGGCUGGUAGGUACUGUAGCUGGUAUUGCUGUGAUUGGUUUAGUAGGUGUAUUCUUUUAUGGUUCAUAUUCUCGAUUGGGUUCAUCUCUAUAG
rnacentral:rRNA from 1 species